rnacentral:lncRNA from 1 species
AUUUUCGACGAGUUUUAAGAGACCAUAGAAUCUUAAAGGACUCAAAUACACAAAAAAAAACAUUAGUAUUCAACCAUAAUUUUGAAUAAAUAAAUAACUAAAUAAAAAUAUAAACAUGAAAUUUGUGAUAUAUACUACAUUGUUCUCUCCCUUGGCCUCGGGUCUGAAUGCCUUGGCUUACCACUAGGUUAGGGAUUUUCCCUUCCCUAAAACACACAGAAAUGCAGUUAGGGUCACUAAAAUUGAAAUCCAAAUCGCCUAGCGGAGGUUUGAGUGCUUACCAAUGGAAGACCAACUCUCAACUGUGGUAGGUGUCUGGACAACCCAAAAGGAUUCUCAGCUCUGCUCCCUCUCCCUUUCUUUCUCGACUUCUUAAUUUCCCCUCUCUCUCUCGCUCAUGCGCCCAUUCUCUUCCCCACACUUGGCUUUCUAUCUUGGACCUCUUCCUCCUUCGUUGACACUCCUCUCUAUAGGGUUUAUUUUCGUCUGAGGUUGGCUUUUAUUUAGGGUAAUGGUGAAUAUGUGCCAUUCAAUCUAGGGAUUAAACAACAGCCAUCCGGUUUAGGGUUUUAUUAAGGGUAAAUUUUGACAUUUUAUAGGGUCUUCCAGCAAGAGUGAAUCUCCACCAUCCGAUUCUUUCCAUAUUUCUUGUGUGGCAAAAUCGGGGUUGUUUUUUUGUGAAUGAUCCUUGUGCAUCUGAUUUGCCACUUAACAUCUGUAUGGCUCUAUCUGGGCCCUUGAUUCAAAUUUCUU